GCUUCUAGUCUCUACCGUAACUUUGAAAAUCAUUGGUUGUCCUCACCUUACUACGACAUUCUGCCAAAAGGAAAAAUGUUUACUGGUUAAUAGUCACUGGACUCAAAACUAUCCCUGAUGGGGAAGACUCUGUGAAUCCGGAAUUUGAGGCCAUGCUCUAAUUUGUAAGAUAAUGGGCCAUUCCACUGCCAGAAUCCUCAAUCAACAUACAUGAAAUAUGAAUGAGCCCAAACAUGUCACAAAAAUAAGCCCAUAGAGGGAAAAACCCUAAGGGGCUUUCACUAAAGAGACCGACAGUAUCCAUGUGGGAAAGGUCAAAAGGAACUGCCAAAGCAUUCCAUGUUCACUGACUAAAAGGUGGAAAUGAGCGGCCAAGAUCAUUGUUUCCCCAAAGAGAUGCCCUUGAUCUGGCGGUGAACAAUUAAAGUAGCUAGGGUUGGAAAUUGGCAACACAAUAUAAAGGGAUGGAAGGCCAGGAUAAGGGUUCAUAGUUGCCUCGGUAGCCGCUUGUUAGUUGGCAUGUAUGGGAGGAAAUGGAGAGGGAGUCUGUUUUUCGGAAGGUUAUAGGGUGGGUGACCGGGGAAAAUAACUUUGGUUUUUAAGAUAUUACUUGUUAUUUUCCCUACUCCACCCAUCCCAUAGGUUUCCGAUCAUUCCUCCCUCUCCUCAUCACUCUGCUUAUCAUGGCCUGUUUAUCUGGUUUGUAUACUUCUCCUGCAUGUAUACACGCGGACGCGGAUCAAUCUCUCUGUGUUGUGUCUAUGAAUAUAUGGAUGGAUCUUGUGUGCAGGAUUCUGGAUCUAGUCUAUCUCGUCUGCUAGUGAAUACUUCUACGUUUUCUUGAAGCCCUCAUCUACUAUCUGAACGGCACUCUUUAAGUAGUUUCUUUCCAAGUGAAUCUCUAUGCAAGUGUAAAUAAUAUAAGCAAGUCUAGUAAACUAAGCUAUAAAUAAAGAACAAAUACCUUCAAAGUGAUUUCCUGUUCAUACGAUAAUCGCAGUGAGUACUGCAAAACUAAUCUUGAAUCUUGAGUUCCCAGUUGAGCAGACGCCGGGCAUGGAAGGUCCUCACUGACAAGCUGUGACUCGUUCGAAUAUAAGCAUUCGUUGAGUGACACUGCACCCUGAACGCCGUCCUUUAUUACAGCAACAAAAUAAAGGCGGCCAUAGUUUUAAAUUUUCCAGCUUAAAUCAGAACAACCCAGUGAAGGCAAAGCAAAGCAAAGCAAAUAAGCAUGUGCUGGGGGGAUAUGAUUUCAACUACUCGGAAGAUGUUAAAAGAGGCCUGCGAACAGAGGUUCGCUUGACAGGUUUUAACUCGGAUUAAACUUCUCCAUGUGAAUUAAAGUGUUGAGCAGCUGUAUUACUGGAACACAAACCAUUGGCGAACUGGUGAAACCGGUUGAAAUCUUCCACAAUAACCUGUCAUGAAUCUCUCUGGAGCAAACUUCAUAACUCUGUGGCCAUCUCCACAAGUUCUCAGAUUCAUCUUUAUACGAAUUGGUGCCCCAGCAGGAGGUGUGCUAGAAGCUAAAAUGCAAGGGCGCGUUUCUCAGUGAAUCCCACAUGCUCUGCUCCUAGUUUCAGCUACAUGCCAGUUUUUCUUCGCCAAGUCCUCCAACUUUCUCAGCUAUCAUAAAUCUCAUCUGCCCUUAAACAUAUUUAUUUUAUUUAACUAAUUCUUUUUAACGGUCUCCAGAUCAUGUUGACAUCUUCUUAUUAAAAUUAUUGAAAAAAACUCAAAAAAGCAACAGCUCGGUUUGAUUAUCUUUUUAAAACUAAAACCCAUUUAAAAAAAAGUUGAACAUAUGAGGAAACGGAAGAGUCACAGACCAGCACAGAGCAGAUGCCGAAAAUGCUGCCCGCUUUGAUAAAAGAAAUGGGCCCGCAGAGCUGUUGCUGCAGCGUCGGUGGGUGCUGGUGCUGGGAAAAUGCCCGAUGUGGUCCUUUGGAUUUGAAAAUCUUAUCGGUAAUGUCGAAGAGCACAUCCCUGUGGAUCUUUAUGUU